UCCCAGCACCAAUCACUGCGAAUAUGAGAUACUCUCCAAUCACCUAACAAAAUGGACACAACUAGCGAUGUGAAUGGUCAAACCUAGUCCAUAGAAUAUGCUGGCACACGAUGUUCGAACAUUGGCCGCAAGAGGGCAGCCAUGUAGUGUAUGCGGAUACGCGCUGCUGGAACUUUAAUGUAUGCGGAUAUCAUCGGGAACAUGCAAUAAAAUGUGUGAAGAUGCGGAAGUAGCAAUGCAUCGAAGGCACUGCACUUACAAGAUCCUAUUUCAUGAAGUCAGCAGUAAAAGGAAUUGUGCCUCAGUAAUAAGUAAAAGAUUGUUCGUCAGCUGUAACCAAUUUUCGCGCAGACAGAAGAAAAUAUUAAGAACAGUACAAGACGUUAAGUAAACACUUUGAGAAGAAUCUUGAAAAUCAGGCAAGAAACAAAUACAGCACUAUAUUGAUCUGCAAAAAGUGUCCAUUUCCCAAACACAUUCGACACCCUUCAUAUUGUCUAUUUUGCAACCACAAUAUUGGCUGCUAAUGGGAAAAGAAUGCAGAACUGGAGGUAUCUGAAGGCGAGCACAGCAUGAGGAAACAGAACAUAGUUGAACUGCUUGGUUGGAAAGGAACACUGGAAAUUAGAGAUGACAAGCUUUCUCAUCAUAAGAAAGAACCCAAGUUGACUACAAGCAAGUGUAAAUAAAAUAGAAGCCCAACUAAAUGGAUGGUUUGAGGGGAAUAAGUGAUUGAAAAAGUCAAAAAUGUAACAUUUCUGAACUUCUGUAUUAAAGCUGAUGCUUGCAACACCAGUGUGACAAACUCCAACAAAAUCACAUAGGAAAAGAAUUCUAAGCAUUUAGCUC